rnacentral:rRNA from 1 species
UAAUUGAAGAGUUUGAUCAUGGCUCAGAUUGAACGCUGGCGGCAGGCCUAACACAUGCAAGUCGAGCGGCAGCACAAGGGAGUUUACUCCUGAGGUGGCGAGCGGCGGACGGGUGAGUAAUGCCUAGGGAUCU